CUUUAAGAACUCAGCGGUUCUUCUUGAAGCCCGUAGAGAGAGAACUUGUUUGCCUGACACUGUGAGGCUCAGCUUUCCUUAUGGGACCUUACCAUGGCUUGAACUCACAGUGAUCCUGUCUCAGCCUCCAAGUGGUGGGAUUAUAGGUAUGGUACAUGGAGCUACCUCAGAUUGUCCACAGCGGCAGACUAUUUGCCUCGUGAGUGCUCUGGCAGGUUCAUGACUCUUCCAGCUGAAGAUAGUUCAAUUUUUGGGACCCUAGAACCAGAGCCCAGAGAGGAAUGGAGGCACUCCAAAGAAGAAGGUGUGGCUGUUCCUCUUGCUAGUUCCUGCUCCUGCUGCUGCUGUUGCUGGUUUGUCUAGUGGUUGAGAGAAAAGAGACAAGAAGUUGGAGAUGAUAUCCUGAUGAGAUGAAGAGUAGAUUUCUCCCAAGAAACUCAAUGCCCCUAAUCAGCAGGAAGUAGUCUAAAUAAGAACUCAACUCUCCCUCUCCCUGCUAACCUUCUUCCUCUCCUACCUGGUGUUGAAGUGCUGGAAGGGAUUGGGGUUGAGAAAGGUGAUAGAUGU